rnacentral:rRNA from 1 species
GAUGAACGCUGGCGGCGUGCCUAAUACAUGCAAGUCGAGCGAACGGACGAGAAGCUUGCUUCUCUGAUGUUAGCGGCGGACGGGUGAGUAACACGUGGAUAACCUACCUAUAAGACUGGGAUAACUUCGGGAAACCGGAGCUAAUACCGGAUAAUAUUUUGAACCGCAUGGUUCAAAAGUGAGAGACGGUCUUGCUGUCACUUAUAGAUGGAUCCGCGCUGCAUUAGCUAGUUGGUAAGGUAACGGCUUACCAAGGCAACGAUGCAUAGCCGACCUGAGAGGGUGAUCGGCCACACUGGAACUGAGACACGGUCCAGACUCCUACGGGAGGCAGCAGUAGGGAAUCUUCCGCAAUGGGCGAAAGCCUGACGGAGCAACGCCGCGUGAGUGAUGAAGGUCUUCGGAUCGUAAAACUCUGUUAUUUGGGAAGAACAUAUGUGUAAGUAACUGUGCACAUCUUGACGGUACCUAAUCAGAAAGCCACGGCUAACUACGUG